CUGACUGGCAGUUGGUUUUAAAUUCCAUCCAUCUGUUUGUGUAUCUUUCACGAUGCUCCAUUUUAAUUCUGAGAGUCCUUGUUCCUCCACCAUGGACUCAGCUCUGCUGUGUGAAUUCUGAGCUGCAGCCUCCCAGUCCUGCCAACAGGCAAGCAUUGUUGACAAACAUGUUGCUUAUGAUGGGAGAAGAUGGAUGUAACCCAGGGGGUCCUACAAAGGGGUGCCGAUUAAGGAAUCAGCAGAGCUCAGCUGCAGACCGCCCCUUCCAGAUUUGCUGACGCCUUUCGAUAGAGGAUGAGAAACGGAGAGUGAGUGUGUGUCUGUUACUUCCCGCAGGGGCCUCCCUCAUGGUCCCCAUCUAGUCUCCAGCGGUGGUGGUUGCGGAAGCU
rnacentral:lncRNA from 1 species